ACAAGGACUGGGCAAGACCGGUGCCAGCCGCCGCGGUAAUACCGGGCAGUCCGAGUGAUGGCCGAUAUUAUUGGGCCUAAAGCGUCCGUAGCCGGCCGGACAAGUCCGUUGGGAAAUCGACGCGCUCAACGCGUCGGCGUCCAGCGGAAACUGUCCGGCUUGGGGCCGGAAGACCUGAGGGGUACGUCCGGGGUAGGAGUGAAAUCCUGUAAUCCUGGACGGACCACCAAUGGGGAAACCACCUCAGGAAGACGGACCCGACGGUGAGGGACGAAAGCUAGGGUCUCGAACCGGAUUAGAUACCCGGGUAGUCCUAGCUGUAAACGAUGCUCGCUAGGUGUGCCGUAGGCUACGAGCCUGCGCUGCGCCCUAGGGAAGCCGAGAAGCGAGCCGCCUGGGAAGUACGUCUGCAAGGAUGAAACUUAAAGGAAUUGGCGGGGGAGCACCACAACCGGAGGAGCCUGCGGUUUAAUUGGACUCAACGCCGGACAUCUCACCGGUCCCGACAGUAGUAAUGACGGUCAGGUUGACGACUUUACCCGAUGCUACUGAGAGGAGGUGCAUGGCCGCCGUCAGCUCGUACCGUGAGGCGUCCUGUUAAGUCAGGCAACGAGCGAGACCCGCACUUCUAGUUGCCAGCAAUACCCUUGAGGUAGUUGGGUACACUAGGAGGACUGCCGCUGCUAAAGCGGAGGAAGGAGCGGGCAACGGUAGGUCAGUAUGCCCCGAAUGGACCGGGCAACACGCGGGCUACAAUGGCUCUGACAGUGGGAUGCAACGCCGAGAGGCGAAGCUAAUCUCCAAACGGAGUCGUAGUUCGGAUUGCGGGCUGAAACCCGCCCGCAUGAAGCUGGAUUCGGUAGUAAUCGCGUGUCAGAAGCGCGCGGUGAAUACGUCCCUGCUCCUUGCACACACCGCCCGUCAAAGCACCCGAGUGGGGUCCGGAUGAGGCCGUCAUGCGACGGUCGAAU
rnacentral:rRNA from 1 species